CUCAGAAUGCCUUGGAAGCCACCUCCAGAGGCAGAGGAUGUGCCACAACCCACAUUCGCACCUCCUAACAGAGCAAUGAGACCGGUGGCUGCUAACACACAUCCCGGAAAGCAGUGUGGAGGAGCCACAGUUCCAGAUGUAAAGAGACUCUCGCUCCCACUGGAAUGCACGCCUUCGUCUCUCCCAAGAAAGAAGUGAGGUCAUUCAGUCAUGUCCAACUCUUUGGGAUCCCAUGGACUAUAGCCUGCCAAGCUCCUACAUCCAUGGGAUUUUCCAGACAAGAAGACGGGAGUGGGUUGCCAUUUCCUUUUCAGGGAAUCUUCCCAACCCAGGGAUCAAAUCCAGGUCUCCCGCAUUGCGGGUAGACUCCUUACAGUCUGAGCCACCCAGGGAAGUUCAUCUCUCCCAGGUCUCCAGCUUACCGUCUCCAGAUCUUGAACACCUUCACCUGCAUGAUCCUUGAAGCCCAAUUCUUGAGUAAAAACAUACCUCUAUCUCCUAACCGUUCUCUGGAGAUCCCAGCUGAAAACACAGAGGGGACUUCAAGAAGGGGAUUUCCCCGCUGGUCCAGUGGUUAAGAAUCUGCCUUUCAAUGCAGGGGACACAGGUUCCAUCCCUGGUUGCAUGCCUUGGGGCAACUAAGCCCGAAC